rnacentral:rRNA from 1 species
GACGUAGGGCGCGAGCGUUGUCCGGAUUUAUUGGGCGUAAAGAGCUCGUAGGCGGUUUGUCGCGUCAACUGUGAAAACCCGUGGCUCAACCAUGUGGUCUGCAGUCGAUACGGGCAGGCUAGAAUUCGGUAGGGGAGACUGGAAUUCCUGGUGUAGCGGUGAAAUGCGCAGAUAUCAGGAGGAACACCGGUGGCGAAGGCGGGUCUCUGGGCCGAUAUUGACGCUGAGGAGCGAAAGCGUGGGGAGCGAACAGG